GAGAUCAUGCUUCAUAAAACACCUGGUUCUUUGUGUAUCUGUCACACAAGGGAUAACCAAUAUGACUAUUUGGUUACAUUUGGCUUUUGUUGCUUAGUUUAUUCUUACAUAGAUGGGCAGCUGGAUGUUAGGGAAAAACAGGGACAGGAAAGAGACUCCAUCCAGUGGCUCUCUGAAGAUUCACCCUUGUUAUCAGUCACUUGGGAUUCUGUUAUCAGAAUUUGGGAUUGCUUGUUAUCACAGCAUUACCUAGUCUACCCUGACUAAUACAAGGGCACUUUGAGAAUCUGAUGGAAGCUCAGGCCACAAGAAAACUGCACAUUCAUGCAAAAUUCAGAACCUUUCAAUUUUAAUGUCUUGAGAUUUCGUUGUGUUUCUAAGAUCCUUGAUGUCCCACAGCCUCCUCUUCUCAGCCUUGGAAUCUGAGGCACCUGGGUUGUAAGUGAUGCUAUGUCAGUGUUCACAAAGGCUCACAAGUCUGCGAAGUGGCCAAGAUGAGCUGACCCUGUCACCAUGGAGCAAGGCCUAUGUGUGCAAAUGAGUCAUGAGCUGAGAGGAAAGAGCUUGAGCCUGAGCUUUUUUUUUUCUUUUCUUUUCUUUUCUUUUUAUGAUGAUUGCUUGAGCCUGAGCUUGUUUGCCAGAUGCUUUCACUAGCCCAAGCUUGUUUUGUGGAUGCUUUCUGCUGCCAGCUACUUUGUAGUCCCUCCUGUGUGACAGCAUCUUGCCAUCAACGGGCUGCAGAAGAAGGGGUGCUUGUUGCUAUUGUGAGCAAACACUGCAUAAACAAUCAGCUCACAUGUGUGUCCCAGAGCGUAUGACCAAUGACCUGGAGAACUCUCAGGCUGUGGGGUGGAGAGAAGGCCAUUCUGAGGUCAACUGAAACCUCACUUGAGGGGCAGUUCCGUAGAUGGGAAUGAGGAGAGAGUCAUGGCCACAGCCACCUGGCCAAGGAGAGAGGCCAUAACUGCCAGACAGAACCAAGGAUGGAGGGACUUCAGCAGCACGAACAAUCCACACUCAGCAUGGGUCACUCUCUGGGACACACAUUUCCCUCUGGCUGAAAGGCUGAGCUGCUCCAGGGCCAACUGUGAGGUCAGACAGCUGCCCAGGGAUGUCUCCAGCCACUCAAGGGAAGAAGAGACCACUCACCUGUAAUUUCAACAGCAACAAAAGACCUGAGGUUCCACCAUCAGAACUUCACGCCCUAAGGAAGAUGCAGCAUUUCCUGUAAAAUGCAAGUGCUCCCAGGCAGAGAGCCAGAAUUGAUUUCGUGGCUUUCUUUCUCCUCUUCUGGGAUUUUGUGCCCUAUUGCCACAGAAACCCUGGGCCCCUUCCCCAGCUGUCAUGAAGGUGCCUGAGUGAUGGUCAGAGAGAUGACCGGAGGGGCCCACCCGGCCACCGCAGCAGCAGCAGCCAAGGCGGGACUAAGCCUCCACACCCCACAUCUCAGUCGUGGCCAGCCCGGGAUGCCUGCCUCUCCUGCCCUGUGGUGUUGCUGUCCUCAUAUGACCCUUCAGUCCCCCGACAUCUGGACAGGCUUUAGGGACCUGCUUGAGCAGAACAUGGUAGAAGUGAUGGACUGGGGCUUCUGAGGCUAAGCCAUAAGAAGCCUUGAGAAUUUCACCUGGCCCUCACUGUCUCUGGGAGCCCUGAGCCAUGAUAGAAGAAGUCCUUCCUAUAUUGAAUGUCCUUGAGACCUCCAGUACUGGAAAGGGCAUUUGUAGAUGCUCAGACCAACAGUCCAAACUGAGCCCAGUCUGCCAACUUGCCCUGCCAAGGUGUCAGAUGCAUAUGUGAAUGAGACCAUCCUAGACCUGCUGAUAGCCCAUCACCCGGCUGACUGCUACUGAGUAACCUCUGCCAACUUCACGCCGAACACAGAACUGCUGAUUUGAACUCUGCCUGAAUUUCUUGGCCCACAGAACAAUGAGAUAUAAUUAAAAGGCAAUGGUUCAAGCCA
rnacentral:lncRNA from 1 species